GUAACAAGGUUUCCGUAGGUGAACCUGCGGAAGGAUCAUUACCGAGUGAGGGCCCUUUGGGUCCAACCUCCCACCCGUGUUUAUUUUACCUUGUUGCUUCGGCGGGCCCGCCUUUACUGGCCGCCGGGGGGCUCACGCCCCCGGGCCCGCGCCCGCCGAAGACACCCCCGAACUCUGUCUGAAGAUUGAAGUCUGAGUGAAAAUAUAAAUUAUUUAAAACUUUCAACAACGGAUCUCUUGGUUCCGGCAUCGAUGAAGAACGCAGCGAAAUGCGAUACGUAAUGUGAAUUGCAAAUUCAGUGAAUCAUCGAGUCUUUGAACGCACAUUGCGCCCCCUGGUAUUCCGGGGGGCAUGCCUGUCCGAGCGUCAUUGCUGCCCUCAAGCCCGGCUUGUGUGUUGGGCCCCGUCCUCCGAUUCCGGGGGACGGGCCCGAAAGGCAGCGGCGGCACCGCGUCCGGUCCUCGAGCGUAUGGGGCUUUGUCACCCGCUCUGUAGGCCCGGCCGGCGCUUGCCGAUCAACCCAAAUUUUUAUCCAGGUUGACCUCGGAUCAGGUAGGGAUACCCGCUGAACUUAAGCAUAUCA
rnacentral:misc_RNA from 1 species